rnacentral:rRNA from 1 species
UACAGAGGGUGCAAGCGUUGCUCGGAAUCAUUGGGCGUAAAGGGCAAGUAGGUGGUCUUAUUUGUCUCGUGUGAAAUCCUUGGGCUUAACCCAAGAAGUGCGCGAGAAACGGUGAGACUUGAGUUCUGGAGAGGGUCGUGGAAUUCCCGGUGUAGCGGUGAAAUGCGUAGAGAUCGGGAGGAACACCAGAGGCGAAGGCGGCGACCUGGACAGACACUGACACUCAACUGCGAAAGCGUGGGGAGCAAACAGG